rnacentral:pre_miRNA from 13 species
GGCCGGAGGCUGUGUGAUAUGUUUGAUAUUCGGUUGUUCUUGUUCGCUUUGUCGUCAACUAAAUAUCAGACAUAUUCCUACAGAGUCUGGCA